AAUACCACUGUAGCAACCACUGUUACCUUAGUAAAGGCAGAGAUAAUGGAAAAUAUUUACGGAUAUAAAACUAAAACAUAAAAGUAGAGAAGAAGAAAUCGUCGGUUUUGAUUGGCUGAGCGGCGAGUGAGAAAGAGAACGGACGAAGAACCAACAGAGGAGGAAGAUGCUAAUUCGCAGGGAUCUACAUGAAGCAAGUGACAGAACAGACGAUUGGAGCAUCGCUGCAAGCAGGAACUCAGUCUCCCUCCAGAGUGGUGUGGCCUGGCAAGACAUCCUGCUCUUUGCUCGCUCCCGUAAGUGUUUUGUGACCACUGCAGUGACUGAACUACUGUACUGAUGAGCCAGUCGCCUACUUCACAGAGCUACAAUGCGCUGCUGCCUGUCAAAGCGCUCCCUCAUCUGAUGAUCCAUGAGUGUGUGAAGUAACGGUGAAAGCCAGCGCACGGACUGGAAAUAUCGCCUGGUAAUAGCAGAUUCCCACUUCCAGAGCUUGUGACCUUGCAAUUUAUGGAGCGUCCAGCGAUGGAGAUGCAUGUGUGCAACCUCCAGGCCAGAGCAGGAGGAGCUGAGACGUCUACGGAUCGACAGCGGAGGCUGCGACUGCUUAUUCUGGGCUGCUGGAGCAGCUGACGGCCACCAGGCGCUCUGUGUACAGAGACCCGUUUCAGUGCCUCACUGUGAGUCUGUCAACGGCUGAGAGACAUCAUGCAGCAUGAAGCUAAAUGUGCAGACGGACAGAGAGGUGGGAGCACAAAGGACCAGCUGGGGAGGGGCUCACUCCUCAGGCCUCUUCAGAGGAAAAAUAGCUGGAGGCCAAGCAACUAAAGAGAAACACGAAAGUAAAGACGCGGUAUUAAAAGGCAAUCGUGCUGUAACAGGCUUCACAGGAGCGAAAGCCAAAUCAGAGCAAACCUCGGGUGUUUCAGCAAGAAAAUGGCAAAGAGGCGCCAGAUCCCGAGAAGCCUGGAGCAGUGAAGGCAGCACAGACCAAACAGAGAUCCACACACGAGUGAAGUGGGUUAAUAAAAGAGUGGAUGAGCUGUGGAAACGGGAGCAGUGUGGAAGGAAUGCGCCGACGGCUCCGACUCCGACUCCGGCUCCGGAACCGUGCACUCCAGGAAAUCAGCCGCGGACCAGUCAACGACGCUUCAUGGGAAACGGAGGGCACGACACCUCCACGCCUCAAACGCUCCAGAGGAAACCAAAACACAUGUGAAGCGCUCACAGCAGCAGAAACAGAGCAGAACAAACGAAGCCCACCGCCUCGGAACCCGACGCCCACUUCCAGCUUCAGAGUGUUUGGACUGGUUGUGUACUGAUCCAUCUCUUCAGAGGUCCAGAGGAGGCGCUUCUGCGGAUGUUAAUGGCGUCUGAGGACAGAAUCUAAACGACGCUUCUUCUGAGGUGUUGCUCAGAAUCAGAGAAGUGAGAUCUAAAAAGGCUCGUGUCCUUUGUUUCCCCUCACACGAAUCCACUGCGACGCAGCGUCCAGAAGAGCGAGCGUCGCUCUUUAACAAGAACACGUCGUUAGAUCACAGUUUAAUUAUAUUAUUGGUUUGUUACAACAGCCUGACGUGCGACAUCCCACCACGUACGCACAAAUGGAGCCUCUGCUCUCCAGAAAUCAGAGCGAUUGGAUUCUCCUCCUCAGGUUGGACUGAAGCUCUGCUUGUCUCCACUGUGACAGACACGCAUCAAUUACCAAACCCUCCAAAGCUCUGACCGAGUUCAUCUCUGCGAAAACAGCGCGUCUCUGGGCUUCAUGUGUGACUAACACACACACACACACACACACACACACACACACACACACACACACACACACACACACACCUGUCCACUGACCACAAUCACACAGGUUCACCAGCAAAUCCUUAUCUCCCCAAAGCUAAUAAAGGCUCGUGUGGCUCGGAGGCGGUUCCAGAGGCCGCAUGUGGACGAGCAGGUAGACACUCAGACAGACACCUCAUUCAGACAGACACCUCAUUCAGACAGACACCUCAUUCAGGCAGACACACUAUUACUUCUGCAAACAAAUAAUCAGACCCUUGUGUGGAACAGCGCUGAAUAGUAAACAGCUAGAUGGGACGGGAUGAUAGUGGACACUCUAUAAAUCAUCCUCACUAUGAGACAGAAAACACAGAGUCAUUAGCCACAAGCUCUUUAAAUCCGGCUCAGCCCAAACACAAGGUCCGAUCUGAUCCUAACUCAUUCUUUCUGUUCGUCACAGUCUGAACUCGCACAGAAAACAAGUGAUAUUGUUCUUUUUUUUGUUUUCUGCUAAUGGUUCUUCUCACACAUCAAAGAUUAUGGGGAUUCUACUGCAGUACAUUUGUCAGGUUCUUUGUGUUUUCCCAGACCACCUGAUGAUGAAGAUGCUUCGGCAUCUUCGUCGCUGCUGAAGUGGAUGGAGGCACCUUUAGCGGCUCCUCUGAUGGAGCAGCAGGUGGAGGAACCCAGAACCGUGGAACGCUCCGCUGUGUGCAUUUCCAGCCAGUCUUUUAAAGCUGCUCAUUGUGAGGUCAGUCAUGUUUGUGUAGGCGUUGUGUAGUGCUGCUUUAUGCCUGCUGCCUCUUGGCAUGUUCAGCACAACAGCGUCCACAAACCCGUGAGUUCACAACUCUGAUAUAAUCUGAUUUGUUCACUUUGAGCUUUGAAUAAAAGGAAACGGAUUAAAGCAACAUUUCAGUCCAUGAGGCUCAAGGUUCUGAUCAAUGAUAGAGUUUUACUGAUAUUUUACAUACGGGCGCGUAUGUUGUUUACUAGAUUAAACAAAAUGAAUCUCCAUCAUCAAGUGGAAAAUGUGGGAGCGACUGCUUUAUAUUCCUGAUAACUCCACAGUGGGAGAUAUUGUGCUAUAACUAUAGACAAAGUCUGGGUGUUUAAGUGAGCAGUCUGAUCCAUAAUCUGCUUUCUAAUGAGAGCCAUUUUUCAUCGGCGAGCGGCUGCUGUGAGUGUGUGUGUGGUGGGUGGGUCCCACAGUAUAUGUGUGCUUUAAUGGACAGGGAGCUUCACAGCCACUUAGGAGUGAA